AUUGAGAUGACCGAAUUAGGUAAUAAACUGUAAAUUUAUUUAUGGAUUUUUUUUCCUCUCAAUA
rnacentral:tRNA from 1 species